GGCGCUGAGGGGAGUGAGGAGGUCACACUGUGUGUGGGUGCUGAGGGAGUGAGGAGGUCACACUGUGUGGGUGCUGAGGGGAGUGUGGAGGUCACGGCGUGUGUGGGUGCUGAGAGGUGUUAGGAAAUCCGAUGUGUUUGUUUCUCCUGGACAGUGUCCCUGUGAGAGAGCCAUGCUGGCCCAAGUCCCGUCACUGUUGGACAGAGAGGGCUCUUCCUGGAGUGAGGCUCCCAUGUGGGUGCUUGCUCUGGCGAGGGAUCUGGUCACGUCUCACCCGAGUGUGUUUAUUUCCGGCUUUGUCGGGAGGCUGGGCACCCGUGGAAGGAAGGAGGACCAGAGGGGGAAAAGGUUUCUUAGAAAUUUGAGGAACAGAAAGCAGGAGGGGUUAUUUCAGGCCUCCUGUUCAGGGGGAAGCACAAUUUUAUGGACGUGGAGUUUCUCUUUGGAGAAUUUGAAUACAUGUGACAAGAUCUUUGGUCCAUUAGCAUCUGAAUUCUUUCUAGAAAACAGGAGCAGAAUGAUUUACCGGAGGACAUCAGCGUCAUUCUGAGGAAGGCCUAUAGGCACCUAGGCCUUUUCAACCCCCACCGCUCUCCUUCCAUCAGAGAAGAAAAAAUGCUUCUGCUUUUUGAAUUGGCUCGUUUUUCCUUGACCUUGAAGUGCACGGAGAUCUCCUCUGACUGCCUGUCAGACCUGAAGAAGAUGGAAAGCGCGGAUCCUGGGAAGCUGAUUGAAAUUGAGUGUCUGGAGUGUGAAUCAGAAGCUUUAAGACUUGAGAGUAAAAUGAAAGUGUACCUCCGAGCAGCCGUUGAGACCCAGCUGGAUAUCGUACAGAGACUGGACGUCGCGCUGCAGCGAGCCGUCCGCCUGGGCGACCCCCGGGUCAUCCAUGUGGUGUGCGCCACGCAGUGGAACACCUGCCUGCCCCUGCUGCAGCACAACCUGCGACACCGCCUGAGGAAGCCGCUGGCCAGCGUCGCGGAGGUGCUGGAGAAGGUGGACAGCCUCAUGACGCUGCUCCGCUGCCAAGUACACAUGGAGAUGGCGCAGAUUGAGGAGGACGAGGACCGGCUGGAGCCCGCCAUGGAGCACCUGUGGAAAGCCACACGCCUGGACAGCCUGGGCCUCUACCAGGACCAGCUCCGGAUGGCCUCCACCCGGCUGCGCCUGUGCACCACGCUGUACCAGGCCCCCGAGCACGCUGAGGACAAGGCCAUCGUGUGCAUCGAGCAGGCAAAAAAAGCUCCCCCGAAGGACAGCGUCAGGAAGAAGCGGGCCCUCCUGGUGAACGCGGGCCUGGCCUUAGCCCCCGACACCUUUCAGAUCGUGCUGGACAGUGAGAAUGAGGCCAAAGUGUCCACUGGGAAGAACAGGGGCCGGUUCAGCUACCUUUGCUCGAAGGCACGGCACCACAUUGUCAGCGUGGACAAAGCUGCCGGGCACCUGCGGCGGCUGGGCUAUGAAAAUGACAAGGAGAGGAUUCAGAUCUGGGCGGAGCUAGCCAAGGUGGCGCGGAAGCAGGGCGUGUGGGACGUCUGUCGGACGGCGAGCCGCUUCUGCCUCCUGUAUGACAACGUCAAGGUGAAGAAGCUGAGGCUGCGGAGAGGGAGGAAGAAGCGAGGUGGGGACAGCUCAGUGCAGGACGCUGGGAGCCAGCCUGAGGUCGUCCUGCAGAGGCAGGUGUCCCCUGACCUGCUGCGGAAGUUCGCGGAGGUGGGGUUCAUCAACGCUGAGGCCACGGUCCAUUUGCUGCGGUCAGAAGGUGUAGAGCUGAAUGACCGGGCCAUCCCCCCCGAAGACCUGAGCCAGCACCCAGCCGGCUACGUGCCUGAGCCCCCGGAGGCGAGUGCUGAGUGGGUCACAUACAGAACCUGGAUUGAGAGCCUGUCCCAGUACGCCAUGAAUAACUGGCUGCGCUCUGCAGAGAUUGGACAGGAACUCCAGGAGGCAUGGAUCGUGCAGAACGCUGUGGUCUACGUCCUGAACCACAGCCGCCACCUGAUCCUGGCCGGGCGGCAGAAGGAGCUGGUGGACGCCCUGCACCACCUCCUGAGCAUCGUCAAGGCCACAGGCCACAGCGGGGACCCUGUGAUGCUGGUGACGCUCUGCAACACGCUGGCACGAGGCCUGAUCAUCAGCUGGAUUCCAGCCCUGGCUGCUGAGAAGUCCAGGAAAUUGGUGCGAGCAAAUGCCUUUCACAGCCCACUGGAUGCAGGAGCCACCUCCGAGAUCAAAACAGCGGUGGAGGUCUGUGAGUUUGCCCUGAACCUGACCAACGGGAGCACACCAGAGGAGACGGUGCCCACCCGCAUCCGGCAGCAGCUCCUCGCCACCUGGGUCAAGGCCAAGCAGCUCCUGCAGCAGCAGAUCGGGCCACGGCUGGGCACCGAGGAGCAGUUGGUGAAAAUGGCUUCUGAGUGCAACUGGUCGGACCCCCUGGUGGAGCUGCAGACCCUGACGCGGCUGACCCACUUCGCCUACACGGCACGUGACCAUGAGACCACCAUGGCCUGUGCUCACAAGGCCGUUGAGAUGGGCGUCAAGUACCUGAAGACACUUGGUCCCGUGGAGUCCCGGCUGGUGGCGGAGAUGCUGUGCACGGCCGCGGGUGUCCAGGGCAGGAGCAUCAUGGAGAACCUGAAGGGCCAGAAGCAGCUGCGGCUGGUGGCAGCCAAGGCCUUCAUGGAGAGUGCUAGGUUCGGAGGCAUCGCGGGCAGCAGCGCCCUGGUGAUGCUGGCCGCGCGGCACUUCUGGAAUGCCUGGCUCCCGUUCCUGUCCUCGGCCGUCUACAGGAAGAAGGCCCAGGGUGCCCUGCAGAGGCUCAUCCGCAUCAUCAACAGGACAGAGGCCGAAAAGCAGGAGGAAGAGAAGACGCUGCUUCUGCACCAGUGGCCCACAGCCGACUUCCAGGGCGGCGGGACGGCCGACGGGUAUUUUCUUCCAGGGGCUGAGGACGACCUGACACUCCGUGCCGCGCUGUACGGCCUGCUCUUCCACAGCCAUACCGACCAGGACGACUGGGAGGGCGGCCUCAAGGUGCUGGACGAGGCUGUGCAGGUGCUGCCUCGGACGGCCCACCGCCUCUUGAUCUUCAAGCACAUGAUCAUCGUGAAGGCCAAGCUCGGGCAGAAUUUCUCGAUGGAAAUACAGAAGUUCAAGGCUGAGAGUGAGGACUACGUGGCAGGCAUGUGGCGCCGACUGGCCCUGAACUCACGGAGCGUGUCUGCAGAGCUGGCCUGCUACCACAGCGCCAUCCAGGCCUUGCAGGUGUGAACCCAUGAGCAUGCGUGCACGUGGUGCCGUUCAUCCUCGAGUGGAAGGGAGAGCCGUGUGGACAAAAGCUCAGCUGGGAACUGGCAUGGGCGGCACUUAGGGCAGCGAUGGCUGACGGCGCAGAAUGCACCACAUGGCCCCGGGCGCUCCUCCUGCUGACCAG
rnacentral:lncRNA from 1 species